rfam:Gossypium arboreum cultivar AKA8401 contig_14718_1, whole genome shotgun sequence.
AACCCAUAGUGAUGGCACUUUCUCCAUAAGUCCUUAUACCUCUCCCAUGCAUCAUAUAGGGUUUCUAAGUAAUUUGAACUAAGGAAGAGAUAUCAUUCCUCAACUU